AUACGUAGGGAGCGAGCGUUGUCCGGAAUUACUGGGUGUAAAGGGAGCGUAGGCGGGAUCGCAAGUCAGAUGUGAAAACUAUGGGCUUAACCCAUAAACUGCAUUUGAAACUGUGGUUCUUGAGUGAAGUAGAGGUAAGCGGAAUUCCUAGUGUAGCGGUGAAAUGCGUAGAUAUUAGGAGGAACAUCAGUGGCGAAGGCGGCUUACUGGGCUUUAACUGACGCUGAGGCUCGAAAGCGUGGGGAGC
rnacentral:rRNA from 1 species